GUGUGCCAUUUCAGCAACACAUAUACUAAACUUGGAAUGAUAGAGAGAAGAUUAAUAUGGCCCCUGUGCAAGAAUGACAUACAAAUUCAUGAAGUGUUCCAUAUUUUU
ensembl:snRNA U6 U6 spliceosomal RNA